GUCUGCUGUGGAUUUGAAUUUAUGUUGUAUUUUCUUAAUGGUAGAUGUCACGUCAAAUAAUUAGAGGGCGUAAUUAUCAGCUGAUCAGAAACACAGUCGUCUUUUCCAAUCUUGUGUCAUCUUGAGUCGUAAGAGGCCAUUUUGCGGUAGUAACGUCUGACAGCUCUUAAUUUGAUCCGCUGUUUUAUAUCUUUGAUUGUGUGUGUCUUUUUUAUUCGACUCUGCAUUCAGAGUGUAUAUAAUAUUGAGUGAAUUGAUACGUGAUUUCUAUUGAGUCACGAUUGUAUAUUGACGUCUCUGGCCAUUGCCCACUCCUAAUUGUGGAUCCUGGGCACCAGUUGAAUAGUCUAAAUACCGCUAUCAUAUUCUUUCACUCGUUGGCCCAUAGCUGGCUCUGGCAUUUUCAUUCUUGG